AUUGAACGCUGGCGGCAUGCCUUACACAUGCAAGUCGAACGGUAACAGGUCUUCGGAUGCUGACGAGUGGCGAACGGGUGAGUAAUACAUCGGAACGUGCCCGAUCGUGGGGGAUAACGGAGCGAAAGCUUUGCUAAUACCGCAUACGAUCUACGGAUGAAAGCAGGGGACCGCAAGGCCUCGCGCGAUUGGAGCGGCCGAUAUCAGAUUAGCUAGUUGGUGGGGUAAAAGCUCACCAAGGCGACGAUCUGUAGCUGGUCUGAGAGGACGACCAGCCACACUGGAACUGAGACACGGUCCAGACUCCUACGGGAGGCAGCAGUGGGGAAUUUUGGACAAUGGGCGCAAGCCUGAUCCAGCAAUGCUGCGUGCAGGAUGAAGGCCUUCGGGUUGUAAACUGCUUUUGUACGGAACGAAACGGUGAGCUCUAAUAAAGCUUGCUAAUGACGGUACCGUAAGAAUAAGCACCGGCUAACUACGUG
rnacentral:rRNA from 1 species